GUCAGUUUGUCCGAGUGGUUAAGGAGUCAGACUUGAAAUCUGGUGGGUCUGCCCGCGCAGGUUCAAACCCUGCAGCUGACG
rnacentral:tRNA from 1 species